CCUGACCAAAAUUCUUUCUGGUUCCAGAAUCUUGUUUCCAUUGAUCAUCAUAGUAGCUUACUUCUCUCUCUUUGGACAGAGACUGCAUGGUGCCUUGUUGCAAUGUUAUUUGUCUUCAUUUAUUUAAUUUUUCUGGUAUUAGCUGCGGUGAUGACAGCUAAGGGUGAGUAUGUUUCAGAAUCAUUUUUAUUAAUUUGUUUGAAAUUACUAGAAUAUAAUUUUUAAAGGCCUUUAAACUGAUGGCAAGAAUUUCCUGAAGGAAUUUUACUAUGUUGUAUAUUUUAAUAUAUAAGAGUAUUUUAUCAAUUCAGUAAUUUAUUGAAUUAUCAAUAGCAAAGGCCCAAGUGAUCUUAUCAAAGAUGUCAGUGGAUAGCUGGGUAUUUUAAUAAGAAUGGGAAAUAAUAGGGGCGCCUGGGUGGCUCAGUCGGUUGAGCGUCCGACUUCAGCUCAGGUCACGAUCUCACGGUUCGUGAGUUCGAGCCCCGCGUCAGGCUCUGGGCUGGUCAAGUAAUUUGAAAGAGAAUUUAACAUAGGAAAGAAACAAUGGUGUGUAGGUAUUCAUCAAAAAAUAAAGCAAAAUGAUCAGGAUAUUGGGCUUAGCUUACACAUUUUUUGAAGUCAAUGUCAUUACAUUAUUAUAUAUAUAUAUAAGCUAUAUAUAUAUAUAUAUAACUUUUAAAUAUAUAUAUAUUAUAUAUGUAUCUUUUAAAAGAGUAAAUCUAGGGGCACCUGGGUGGCUCAGUCGAUUGAGCGUCUGACUUCAGCUCAGGUCAUGAUCUCGCGGUCUGUGGGUUCGAGCCCCGCGUCGGGCUCUGUGCUGACGGCUCAGAGCCUGGAGCCUGCUUCCGAUUCUGUGUCUCCCUCUCUCUCUGACCCUCCCCCAUUCAUGCUCUGUCUCUCUCUGUCUCAAAAAUAAAUAAACAUUAAAAAAAAUUUUUUUAAAUAAUAAAAAAAUAAUAAAAGAGUAAAUCUAUACAGAAGUACUGCUAGCAGACCAGAAAUGUGAAAAUUUUAAUCAAAUUAGGAAAUAAAAUGAAUUAGAUUUAAGUUAGAGAAAACAACAACUCAAAAUGCCUAUCAAAUACAUUUAUUCAAAAACCAUAAUUACAUCAAAAGCAAUUAUAAUCUCAAAGUGAAUUGUUUCAGAAUAGAGCAGAAUGUAUACUUUUUAAUAAUAAACAUUUAAAAACUUGUCUAAAUGUACAAUUUGCUGCAAAAACACAUGGUGAUAAAAAGACUCAAGACAAUGUAGAGGAACUGAAUAAAAUAACUAUAUUCUAGAACUAUAUUCUAUGUUCUAUGGGUAAAUAAAUUAAUCAAAGAUGUACCUCCAAAUAGAUACCUGACUGACAAUUUUCUAAGGAUGAACUUGAAAAUAAUCUUAGUAACUAAUCUAACUUCUAAACAAAGUGCUUGUAAACUAGCAAAAAAGAAAAUUUUCACCCAAAUCAGGAAGAGAAGCAUAGCACAUUCAGGAAGAUAUUUUAGGACAGCACCCUUUACAAACAUAGAAGGAAAAUCCUACAUACAACAGCUAACAUAGUACAUUAUUAUACUAAAAGGAUGCUACGCAGUGACCAAAUUCUGGUUAAAAUCAGGGAUGGGUUUGUACAUUUAUCAAAAGAUUUGUCAUAUUGAGGAGAAAAAGAAAUAACUACAAGUAGAAGGAAUUAUAUUUGACUUGGUUUAUAAGGAUCUUUAGCAAAUAACAUUUUUCAGAACAAGAAAUUAGGCUCAUUUGCAAUAGAAUCGGGAAGACAAGCAUGACUGAUAGAACUACUAUUGCUCAACAUUUCUCUGGAUGUCCUGGCAAAAGAAGACCAAUCAUGCAGAAACACCUAUUUAGGUAUAAUGUAAAUGUUACCAAUUAAAUACCAAAAUUAUCUGCAGAUGAUUUGUUUUCUUGCCCCUAUACUACAAGAAAAUCUAUUGACAAAAAUCACAAUAAAAGAACACUUCAAUGAGGAAACUUGAUACAACGUUAACGUAGUGUUACCGUGUGUACCAGCAAGAGUUAACAUCCACUGUCUCGGUCCUUAUUUAAAUCUCUUUCUAUCAUUUCUUCUGAGGUAUCUUUUUUAAAAUAGCCUACCACAGGGUGCCUGGGUGGCUCAGUCGGUUAAGCAGCUGACUUCGGCUCAGGUCAUGAUCUCACAGUUCGUAAGUUCUAGCCCUGCGUCGGGCUCUGUGCUGACAGCUCAGAGCCUGGAGCCUGCUUCACAUUCUGUGUCUCCCUCUCUCUCUGCCCCUUCCUUGCUCAUGCUGUGUCUCUCUCUGUCUCAAAAAUAAAUAAACAUUAAAUUUUUUUUUAAUAAAAUAAAUAAAUAAAUAAAUAAAUAAAUAAAUAAAUAAAAUAGCCUACCACACUAUAUUUCCAAACAGGCUCUAUCUUCCCAGCCUUGAUUCUUACCAACGUCAAGGAAAAAGUCAGAUGCUUUAAUAUUGUUGGCCUUUCUCAGCACUCAAUGUUAAUUAUCUCAACUUAGUGAAUUACACACUUGUCUACAAUGGCAUCACUACCUAUCUCACCCAAAACUACCUCUGUCUCCCUCACUCCCUCUCCCUCCUCUCUUUCUACAUUACUAGCCCCCAAGCGAUCUUCUUCUAAUUUCCAGAGUAACCUCCUCAAAAUGUAAGUUUUAUAAACUCAUCCUAUUUUUACUGUUAGCUUCUUAAAACCUUAAGUGCAAUAUAAUUGAAAAACCCUUAACCUGGUUUAUAAAGUCCUUUCUUACUCUAUCCGUGGAUCUCUACCCCAGCGAGUACCACAUACUUUCUCACUCUCUAGGCUCCACAGUUCACUAAAUGACUCCUGAUUAAAGUUAUCAUCAUACAGAUAGGGAUAAUUUUAAGAAUGGGAGCAGAUGCUGUUAAUAAUUAUUCUGGGACAACAAACAUGAAUCAGGACUUCUCUGGGCAAAUUGAUAUGAAUUGUAACUUUAUCCAAGAUCCCUCCGAUUACAGAGGAUAUGCAUAAACUAUUCCAUUUUAUCCUAAACCCCCUUACUGCUACAGGUUGGUUUUUCUGGGGGGAGGGGGGCAGGUGGGGAGGGGGUAAUCCAAGAGUAACCAAUUAUCUCAGAAUAAUAAAUUUUCUUUUAUAAUUAGGCCAACUUUAUUACAGUGUCUUACAUACCACUCAUUUGUAGCAUCUUUCAUAGUCUUACCUGUAUAUCUGUGUGGUUAUUUAUUCAACGUCUGUCCCACUAGAUUGUUAGCUUCAGUAGAACAGAGCUCAUGUCUGUAUUUUCUUUACAUUUUAUCCUUUGCUUUUGAGUACUAUGUUAACACAUUAUAGGUACUUAGUGAAUAUUUCUGACUAAAUAAAUCUAUACACCUAAAAAUGUAUAUGGCUUAUAUGAAGAGAUUAUACCACUUCAUUAAAAAGCAUAAAGAAAAGCAUUAGUAAAUGUACCUUUGUAGGAAGACUAAUACUGUGAAGAUGAUAAUACUCUCCUAAAUUCAUCUAAGAUUUAUGUGAUUCCAAUGCAAGUAUAUUUUCAUGAUAAAUAAAUUAAUUAUAAAUUAUACGUAGAAGCAAAAAUGUAUGAGAUUAACACAAUACAUACUGAAAUAUAUUGGCAAGAGAAGCAUGUAUCUAGCCUUGUCAGGUGUCAAACGAGUCUAUAAAGCUAUAAAGUCUAAGUAACAAUAUAGUACUGGUAAAAAAAAAUAAAUAUAUCAAAAUAAGAAAAAACAACCUAAUAAAAUCAUAUGCAUGAUAGUAUCUGUGGUAUAUAUCCAUGGAAUAUAGUAGGCUCUUCAAAUGACAGAUGUUAAAUAACAAUAGGUUUGGGUUAAUAUAUGGACAGCGAACACUAUCAUACCCAUUUGUUGUAUCAAAUUAUCAACUUUCUUUAAAAAACUAAGGAUGAAUUAUAUGUAUAUACAUAGAAAUACAUACACAUAUAUAAAUUCACAUAAGAAGCCAGAAAUAUAAUCAUCUGUUAACAUGGAAACAAUUGUUACUAUAAAAGUGAGCAAUAACCUGUUAAUAUGGAAGAUGGUAACAUAAAGAGUAUUUAGACAUGAAAAUAAUUUGAAAACAACCAGAAGGAUAUAUAUAUAAAGCUAUUUACAGCAAUUCUCUUUGCUGAAGUAAGUGGCAUUGGAGGGACUACGAAAGGGAAUCUGUUCUACUUUUUACAGUGUAUACACCCUUUUUUUUUUUUGUAAAAUAAAUAAAUUCACAUGUUAUUUGUGUAAAAGAGAAAAUAAUUUUAAAAAAGCAUUAUAUUCUAGAAAUAAAGAAGCUGUAUUUGUAUAUGGUAGACCUAGUAGUAAAUAUCAAAAUAAAGUAUAACCUACGAUUCUGAUGGGUACUCCUGUAUGAGACUGUACUGUUACAGCCUAUUUUAAAAUUAUCACUGGGGCACCUGGGUGGCUCAGUUGGUUAGGCGUCCGACUUCGGCUCAGGUCAUGAUCUCACGGUCCGUGAGUUCAAGCCCCGCGUCAGGCUUUGUGCUGACAGCUCAGAGCCUGGAGCCUGUUUCGGAUUCUGUGUCUCCCUCUCUCUCUGACCCUCCCCCGUUCAUGCUGUCUCUCCCUGUCUCAAAAAUAAAUAAACAUUAAAAAAAAUUUUUUUUUAAAAAUAAAAAUAAAAUUAUCACUAAGUACAGAAGACUAGUUUAUUGCAAGGACCAAGCUGUGCUUUGUAUCAAUUACACAUAGAAUUUUGAUUACCAUACCCUGGAAAAGUCAUGAAAACACCAAUAUAAUUUACGUAUAGAAUACUUACUUGUGAAUGAAAUAAAUAAAAUAAAUUGGUGAAAUCUCCUAGAAAUCACAAGCUUUUUCUUCUGUUUUACUAUUAGCAAACUUUGUCUUAAUAAGAGAGAAGAGAGAAGCAGUUGAACCAGUAAAAGCGUUUUCUUAUGUCAAAUAGCUAAUCUUAUCCGUGAAUUACCCAUCAGAAGGAAGAUCUUCCUGGGUAUUAAGGCUUUAGUAUAAAUGAACAAGGCAGGAAUAAACAUACGACAGAAAUGGAGGGGAAACUUUGCAAACAAACAAGAAGGUGCUUGGCAGAAAAUUUAGUUAAGCAUGGUUUGCUUAUUCAAUGAUAUGUUAAAAUUUAGCUUAAUCAUGUGACUUCUCAUUUUAAACAAGAUAGAAAAGCUGUAGGUCUGUAUUCAACUAACAUCAGAUCAGUGAUUAGCAGCAUCCUUCACAGGAAAAUAUGUUUAAAAUAUGGAAUAAUCCAGUUCAGGAAACAAAGAUGGAAGACGGAAGUUUGAGGGAAUGAAAAGCUGAUGCUAAUGCUUUCUUCUUUACCAUUAGUACAACAAAAAUACUCAACUUCAAUACUCUACGUGGUAUGAUGACGGAACGACCCAAUAAUAUUUAUUACAUUGAUUCCCAUGAGUCCAGCAAUACUUUUGGGAUUCAGACUGGAGUGAUACGGUCCGGAGAACUUAAAGUCAUGGUGAUAUGAGUCUGUGCUGGACCAAGUCGAAAUCCUAUGUCCAACACGCUUCAUGAUUUUGUCACUGAACUGGGAUCGGAUCUUGGUAAAGCAGGCAUGCAGAAAGAUUUUCUCUACAAUAUGUGUGAAGUUUUCAAAAUCUCUUAGAAGUAACCAUAAGCCAUUCAGACUAAAAUGAAUUUAAGCUAGGGACAUUCCAUUCACUCAUUAUUUUUUUUUUAAGUUUAUUUAUUUAUUUUGAGGGAGAGAGAGAGAGAAAGGCAGGGAGGGGCAGAGGGAGAGGAGAGAAAAUCCCGAGCAGGUUCCACGCUGUCAGGGUGGACAGGGGACUCAAUUUCAGAACCAUGAAAUCAUGACCUGAGCCAAGAUCAAGAGUCAGAUACUUGAGGCGGAUAUGGAGACAGUGUGGAAUAUUAUAAUAGCUCAAUAUAAAAAUAAUGAAAAUCUGAAUAGGAAAAAAGAUUAUUGUACUGUAAAGAAGAGAACAGCUAUAUAGAGAGCAAUGGAGAGAGAGAAUAGACAGUACUUUGUGAUUGACAGGAUAUGUACCAUGUCGAAGGUGUUUGCUUUGAACACGGCUUAGUCAUUGCAUCCUGACUGUCCAGGUUUGCUAACUGCUUAGAAUGGCAUCAAUCCGAUGUCCAAACUUACGAUUAUCAAAGCACCAGUCGUUAACUCAGAAAUAUCUGUUAAAAGUAAAAGUUCAUACUUAAAAACAAAAAGUUUACUUACCUACUUGAGAGUGAGAGAGCAAGCCUGAGCAGGGGAAGAGCAGAAACAGAGAAUUCCAAGCAGGCUCCACGCUAUAAGCGAACAGCCAGACGCAAGGCUCGAUCUCAGGAACUGCAAGACCGUGACGUGAGCCGAUCUCAAGUCAGUUGCUUACCUAACUGAGCCACCCAGGCACCCCUAAAAGUCCAUACUUUAGUAUCAGUUAUUUGCCGAUGAUAAUUUACAAUUCAUUCCUCAGCUGGCCAUAAAAAAUGAAUGGAGAAGUUGUAUUGAAGACAUUUUAGGUUUCUCGUGCAUUCGCGACCCUGUUUGAAAAUGAUAAUAGUCUUAAAAUAUAUUUUCCUUUGCCAAUUUUAUGAAUUUCAGCUCGUUGUCUGGAAGAGGUUCUGAUAUCAUAUGAAAACGAAACUGAACAUUGCAAAGUCAUAUAGCAAAGCAGAGGUAUGUAUGUAUCGGAUUGCAAUGGGAAUCUUGACAUCACAUAGAGCUGUUUAAAUCUAGAUGUACGUGCACAAUUAAUAAAUAUCAGAUCAAAGUUAGAUCGCUAUGGCAUACUUAUCAGAAAAAAAAAUCUCCGCUAACUCUUGAAAUUAAGGAAGAUAAUUGAAAACAAUAAUGCAAAAAUUACAAUCCAUUCAGCGAGCAUGGGUGAUAAUGUUAUCUUCGUGCGUGUAUUUUUUGCUUGUCAAGGUAACUGGUCUUUCUCUGAAGACAACUGGUAUUUUACUUCUGCUGCAAAUACCAUCUUGGCAGCAGGGAAAUUGUUCUGGAACAUUGAGUGCCAAUCUUAUCGAGACAAAUAGCAAGGAAGAGGCGGAAAUGUAUGGCAUGAUAUUCAUUCCCAUGUUUUCUUAAGCAGAAGAUAACUAUAAAUAGACUUUUUAAUAUCUUGUGUUCUUUCAAGCGUGCCAGACUCAACAUAUUAUAAGCGGAGAUCUCAAUCAAACUGAAAACAUUAAAAAAUGGACUGAAGAUGAUUCUGUGAUUUUAAAACUUUAAAUAUAUUUGCAUAUCAAACUAUGUACUGAUGUACAAAAAUUAUUUAGUAAAUAAAGGGGUGGAGGGGAUCACAUAAGACAUACAAACUAAAAGGAGUCUGCUCAGAAAUAGCUCAUAUUUAUUGAUUGCUCCUACUAUUCCUGGUAAUAGUUGCGUGAUUACAUAUUGUUAAAGCAUGUACUGCCCCAAUAAUCCUAUGAGACAGUGCUAUCAUUGAUGUUGUCACAUUAAUGAGGCCCAGAGAGGAUGAGAAAAAUUUCCAAGAUUAUGUAGCAAGUAAGAAUUAGAAGCAAGAUGUAAGCCAUGAAAGUUUUACUCUGGAGAUCAUGAGCAUUAACAUUAGGCGAUGCUAACCCCGGAACGGUAAAUCAUAUUGAAGCAAGUUGGAAGACUAUCACUUUUGUUGGCAACAGGCAGAGUCGCUCAAACAAGCAGAUUUACAUUUUUCUCCCCUGUAUGUUAUCUUUCAGAAAGAAACAAAUAAGAAAAAGAACUUUCAAGAAUAAAAUAUCAUAACAGCUGCUCAUGAGGAGUGACAUUUUCAGGCUAAUUAUUCUUUGGAAUUUUGAAGACCAAAGGCCUCGUAGAAGGGAUUCUCCCUCUAGUAGACUCUAGCGAACCUAAAGAAUACAGGUCUCCUUCAUUUUUUAUUCUCCUCUAAUAUGCUGUUGUUGCCUUUACAUCGUGUCUCCUUUUGCCCUGCCUUCAAGUUGUU
rnacentral:lncRNA from 1 species